rnacentral:rRNA from 1 species
GAUGAACGCUGGCGGCGUGCUUAACACAUGCAAGUCGAACGGAAAGGCCGAAGCUUGCUUCGGUACUCGAGUGGCGAACGGGUGAGUAACACGUGGGUGAUCUGCCCUGUACUUCGGGAUAAGCUUGGGAAACUGGGUCUAAUACCGGAUAUGACGAUCUCUUGGAUGGGGUUGUGGAAAGCUUUUGCGGUAUGGGAUGAGCUCGCGGCCUAUCAGCUUGUUGGUGGGGUAAUGGCCUACCAAGGCGUCGACGGGUAGCCGGCCUGAGAGGGUGUACGGCGACAUUGUGACUGGGAUACGGGCCAGACACCUACGUGAGGCGGCAGUGGGGAAUAUUGCACAAUGGGCGCAGGCCUGAUGCAGCGACGCCGCGUGGGGGAUGACGGCCUUCGGGUUGUAAACUCCUUUCGCAAUCGACGAAGCCUUUUAGUGACGGUAGGUUGAGAAGAAGCACCGGCUAACUACGUG